rnacentral:misc_RNA from 1 species
CCACAAAGUAAAAUGAACAAACAAAAUUUUAUAUAUUUGGAGCUGAGAUUAACAGUUACAGACAUCCUGAAGAAAGACUAACGCUUAUGAUAAUUCACAGUUCUUUGAGAAUACAAAGCCGCUCCCUUAUCUUCGAUUUCCUUCUCAAAUUAAUUGCAUUUAAUGGGAGGUGCUCUAUAAUAUGCUGGAACAGUUGCAGGGAAGAACAUUUGUCUAACUCCUUCCGCCUUAAUAAUGGGGAAGAUGAUUCCUGAUGCACCCGAAAUCAACCUAGCACCGACCCAUAUACGAUGAGGUGAAGGAAAUGGCAAUAACAGACGCCCAACACCAUAAAUUGCUACAGCAAAGAAGUGGAGGACCAAGCUCAAUGGACGAGGGUUUAAACCCGAGAGCAAAGAGACUGGUCCUGUUGAGAAUACACCUCCAAGACUCAAAUAAUCAAAGCAGGCUUGGCGCAUUUCCUUCCUUGCUUCAUCAGGUGAAGCACAAAACACCUUGUAGAGGGCACCUGCCAAUGUAUUGAUUGUAGAUGCCACAGGCUUACGCAAGGUGUAGAAGGAUUCAAGAUAUCUGCAGAGAGUAGGAGCAUCAUGUAGGUCUCGCAAAGGCUUGAGAAGAUCCCGUAGCACAACAAUGUCAGAUAGUGCCACAGUCAUUC